rnacentral:rRNA from 1 species
AUUCCCGGUGUAGUGGUGGAAUGCGUAGAUAUCGGGAGGAACACCAGUGGCGAAAGCGAUUCUCUGGGCCACACCUGACGUUGAGGUGCGAAAGCGUGGGUAGCGAACGGGAUUAGAUACCCCGGUAGUCCACGCCGUAAACGAUGAAUACUAGGUGUAGGGGGCUUCAACACCCUCUGUGCCGCAGCUAACGCGUUAAGUAUUCCGCCUGGGGACUACGGCCGCAAGGUUAAAACUCAAAGGAAUUGACGGGGGCCCGCACAAGCAGCGGAGCGUGUGGUUUAAUUCGAUGAUACGCGAAGAACCUUACCUAGACUUGACAUAUAGGUGGUAGUGAAGUGAAAGCGGAACGACCCUUCGGGGAGCCUAUACAGGUGCUGCAUGGUUGUCGUCAGCUCGUGUCGUGAGAUGUUGGGUUAAGUCCCGCAACGAGCGCAACCCUCGUCGCUAGUUAUACGUGUCUAGCGAGACUGCCGGUACCAAACCGGAGGAAGGUGGGGAUGACGUCAAAUCAGCAUGGUCUUUAUGUCUAGGGCUACACACACGCUACAAUGGCCGGUACAAUAGGUUGCCACAUCGCGAGAUGAAGCUAAUCCCCAAAGCCGGUCUCAGUUCGGAUUGCAGUCUGCAACUCGACUGCAUGAAGUCGGAGUUGCUAGUAACCGUGCGUCAGCAUAGUACGGUGAAUGCGUUCCCGGGCCUUGUACACACCGCCCGUCACAUCAUGGAAGUCGGUAACACCUGAAGUCGGUGACCAAAUCGAAAGAUAGGAGCUGCCUAAGGUGGGAUCGGUAACUGGGAUGAAGUCGUAACAAGGUAGCUGUACCGGAAGGUGCGGCUGGAUCACCU